UGUCAGGAUCUGCACAUGAUUUGUUGAAUUCACAGUUUUAGCAAAUCAGAAAUAAAUCUCAAAUUCUUUACCCACUAUUAAACUUAAAACAAAAAUAAAUAGAUUUUCAGAUUUGAUUAGAAAAAAAAGUUUCAUGGUUUUGUUUUCUGGACUGAAAAAAUGUAAUAAAGAGUGUUACCCAGACAAUGGAUAAAGUGCUACGGCUUACAGUUAAUAAUUGUUGCUGAAAUAACUCUUACCCCCAAAGUUUGUUUAAUGUGAAAAUAAUCUUAGAUAGAAAGGAAUUACAUAUUUAAAUUGCUCUUUUAGUGAAGCUAAUUUUUUAAUUUUUUACAAUUUCAAACAAUCUUGUUUCUUUGAUAUGUUGUACACAGGACAACAUUCAACCCGAUCAGCUUCCAGCCGACUCCAGCAGCGAGGAUCAGAACCUUCACACACCUGACUCAGUUGAAGAGCAAAUGGGCAUCGACCAAGAUGGAGCUGUCACAGUGCACCAAGAUCUGACAACACAUGCCACUGCCUUUGUUAUCAAUGCCCGAUCCAAGCAUCGUCUGUCACAGAAAGGCAUGAAUGACAUUGUUGCUGGGGUACAGCAGUAUCAAUCAUCACUAUUGGACAACCUCAGGACGCAGAUGAAGGAAGUUCUAAAGAAGAAUUCAGGAAGUACAACCAAUCAACUUGGAAAAGAUGCAAUGGAUAUAUUUGACAGUUUCAUUGACCCCUUUGCUAACGUUUCAACAACAUUUCGCCAGAACAGUGUUAUUAGGAAGCAGUUUUGUUGUGUGGAUGCAGAGGAAAUUCCAAUUGCUCGAACCAUAUGCAGGAAGAAACGUGGAGGAUCAAC